rnacentral:rRNA from 1 species
CUUACGGGUGGCAGCAGUGGGGAAUAUUGGACAAUGGGGGGAACCCUGAUCCAGCCAUGCCGCGUGUGUGAAGAAGGCCCUCGGGUUGUAAAGCACUUUCAGUGAGGAAGAACGCCUGGUGGUUAAUACCCAUCAGGAAAGACAUCACUCACAGAAGAAGCACCGGCUAACUCCGUGCCAGCAGCCGCGGUAAUACGGAGGGUGCGAGCGUUAAUCGGAAUUACUGGGCGUAAAGCGCGCGUAGGUGGCUUGAUAAGCCGGUUGUGAAAGCCCCGGGCUCAACCUGGGAACGGCAUCCGGAACUGUCAAGCUAGAGUGCAGGAGAGGAAGGUAGAAUUCCCGGUGUAGCGGUGAAAUGCGUAGAGAUCGGGAGGAAUACCAGUGGCGAAGGCGGCCUUCUGGACUGACACUGACACUGAGGUGCGAAAGCGUGGGUAGCAAACAGGAUUAGAUACCCGGGUAGUC